AUUAGAGUUUGAUCAUGGCUCAGGACGAACGCUGGCGGCGUGCCUAACACAUGCAAGUCGAGCGAAUGAAGUUCCUUCGGGAACGGAUUUAGCGGCGGACGGGUGAGUAACACGUGGGCAACCUGCCUCAUAGAGGGGAAUAGCCUCCCGAAAGGGAGAUUAAUACCGCAUAAGAUUGUAAUGCCGCAUGGCAUAGCAAUUAAAGGAGCAAUCCGCUAUGAGAUGGGCCCGCGGCGCAUUAGCUAGUUGGUGAGGUAACGGCUCACCAAGGCGACGAUGCGUAGCCGACCUGGGAGGGUGAUCGGCCACAUUGGGACUGAGACACGGCCCAGACUCCUACGGGAGGCAGCAGUGGGGAAUAUUGCACAAUGGGGGAAACCCUGAUGCAGCAACGCCGCGUGAGUGAUGACGGCCUUCGGGUUGUAAAGCUCUGUCUUCAGGGACGAUAAUGACGGUACCUGAGGAGGAAGCCCCGGCUAACUACGUGCCAGCAGCCGCGGUAAUAAU
rnacentral:rRNA from 1 species